UGGAGCUUGCGGUUUAAUUGGAUUCAACGCCGGAAAUCUUACCGGGACCGACAGCAAUAUGAAGGCCAGGCUGAAGACUUUGCCGGAUUAGCUGAGAGGUGGUGCAUGGCCGUCGUCAGUUCGUACUGUGAAGCAUCCUGUUAAGUCAGGCAACGAGCGAGACCCACGCCCACAGUUGCCAGCGUACUCUCUGGAGUGACGGGUACACUGUGGGACCGCCGCUGCUAAAGCGGAGGAAGGAAUGGGCAACGGUAGGUCAGUAUGCCCCGAAUAUCCCGGGCUACACGCGAGCUACAAUGGUUGGUACAAUGGGUAUCUACCCCGAAAGGGGACGGGAAUCUCCUAAAACCAAUCUUAGUUCGGAUUGAGGGCUGCAACUCGCCCUCAUGAAGCUGGAAUCCGUAGUAAUCGCGUUUCAACAGAACGCGGUGAAUACGCCCCUGCUCCUU
rnacentral:rRNA from 1 species